rnacentral:tRNA from 1 species
GGGAGUAUAGCUUAGUGGUACAGUGCUUGCCUAGCAUGCAUGAAGCCCUGGGUUCGAUUCCUCAGUACCA